rnacentral:rRNA from 1 species
UACAGAGGGUGCGAGCGUUAAUCGGAAUUACUGGGCGUAAAGCGCGCGUAGGCGGCUUUGCAAGUCGGGUGUGAAAUCCCCAGGCUUAACCUGGGAACUGCAUUCGAGACUGCAUUGCUAGAGUAUGGGAGAGGGAUGCAGAAUUCCAGGUGUAGCGGUGAAAUGCGUAGAUAUCGGGAAGAACAUCGGUGGCGAAAGCGCUCUGCUGGACUGCAACUGACACUCAGGGACGAAAGCUAGGGGAGCGAAAUGGG